GUACUGCUGAAGAGUCCCAAACUAGGACGAAACAGCUGUGAAAUAU
rnacentral:hammerhead_ribozyme from 1 species